rnacentral:rRNA from 1 species
AUUGAACGCUGGCGGCAGGCUUAACACAUGCAAGUCGAGCGGGGUGAUGGUGCUUGCACUAUCACUUAGCGGCGGACGGGUGAGUAAUGCUUAGGAAUCUGCCUAUUAGUGGGGGACAACAUCUCGAAAGGGAUGCUAAUACCGCAUACGUCCUACGGGAGAAAGCAGGGGAUCACUUGUGACCUUGCGCUAAUAGAUGAGCCUAAGGCGGAUUAGCUAGUUGGGUGGGUAAAGGCCUACCAAGGCGACGAUCUGUAGCGGGUCUGAGAGGAUGAUCCGCCACAAUGGGACUGAGACACGGCCCAGACUCCUACGGGAGGCAGCAGUGGGGAAUAUUGGACAAUGGGGGGAACCCUGAUCCAGCCAUGCCGCGUGUGUGAAGAAGGCCUUAUGGUUGUAAAGCACUUUAAGCGAGGAGGAGGCUCUUUUGGUUAAUACCCAAGAUGAGUGGACGUUACUCGCAGAAUAAGCACCGGCUAACUCUGUGCCAGCCGCCGCAGUAA